AGAGUUUGAUCCUGGCUCAGAAUGAACGCUGGCGGCGUGCCUAACACAUGCAAGUCGCACGAGAAAGUCCCAGCUUGCUGGGGCAAGUAAAGUGGCGCACGGGUGAGUAACGCGUGGGUAAUCUACCUCCGAAUUGGGGAUAACACUGCGAAAGCGGUGCUAAUACCGAAUGACAUCCCCGGGACUCCGGUCUUGGUGAUCAAAGGUGGCCUCUACAUGUAAGCUAUCGUUUGGAGAUGAGCCCGCGUACCAUUAGCUUGUUGGUAGGGUAACGGCCUACCAAGGCUGCGAUGGUUAGCUGGUCUGAGAGGAUGAUCAGCCACACUGGAACUGACACACGGUCCAGACUUCUACGGGAGGCAGCAGUGAGGAAUUUUGCGCAAUGGGGGAAACCCUGACGCAGCAACGCCGCGUGAGUGAUGAAGGCUUUCGGGUCGUAAAGCUCUGUCAAGUGGGAAGAACCUGCUUUGUGAUAAUACCACGAAGCACUGACGGUACCACUGAAGGAAGCACCGGCUAACUCCGUGCCAGCAGCCGCGGUAAUACGGGGGGUGCUAGCGUUAUUCGGAAUCAUUGGGCGUAAAGGGCGCGUAGGCGGUCUCUUAAGUCAGAUGUGAAAGCCCUCGGCUUAACCGAGGAAGUGCAUUUGAUACUAGGAGACUUGAGUAUGGGAGAGGGAAGCGGAAUUCCUGGUGUAGCGGUGAAAUGCGUAGAUAUCAGGAGGAACACCGGUGGCGAACGCGGCUUCCUGGACCAAUACUGACGCUGAGGCGCGAAGGCGUGGGGAGCAAACAGGAUUAGAUACCCUGGUAG
rnacentral:rRNA from 1 species